UUGAGAUGGAAACCUGGCUGUGGAUUAUUAUGGCUGCACUUCUAUCUGAGUGUAAAGGAGAAGACAGAGUGACCCAGCCCAGAGAGGAUGUCAUUUCUACUGAAGGACUCACAGUUCAUGCUACGACGCUUUACAAUUGGAGAAGGAAAUAAUGCUGCAGAGUUCCGAAAAGACCGAUUUGAUGCCCAAAUCCAGAACACAUCAGUUCCUCUGAGGAUCCAGAACCUGCAGUGACAGACUCUGCUCUGUACUACUGUGCUCUGAGGCCCACAGUGACAGGAAACACAGACUCCAUGUACAAAAACCCUCUGAGCACAAAACUCAAUUCCCUCU